AGAACGGGCAAAACUGCAGACGCGUUGGCUGACAUUUUUAAAGUCCAUGAUACACAGGAAGUACAUGAUGUCCACACAAGGCGUAUCACUAUUCUCCAUGCCCUUCCUGUGUAUCUGCGUGAGGAAGCGUCAGGAUUUUUCAGAACAUGUGUGGAUGCUAUGGAUGAGCCAGACCUGGGGGAUGC